UCAUCAAAAGUUAUAUUUAAAAAAAUAGUUUAAUACUGCAUUUAAAUUAUUUUGUUUCUCUUCUUUUUUUAACAUGUGAACGUUUCAUGGUGUUCCAGGGUUUGAAACCCCCUCUUCAAAAUGCCUGUAUCCACACACUCUACUGACUCAACUUCCCUAAUGUAAAAAAAAUAUACACAAAUGAACUCUCUGAGCAUGGUCCCUGUGUCUUACUUUACAAAUGUAUAUCACAAUAUUGGAUCAUAUACAUGUAGUUUAAAUUCUUUCAAAUUUGUAUUUUCAUUUCAU
rnacentral:lncRNA from 1 species